GACGAACGCUGGCGGCGUGCUUAACACAUGCAAGUCGAACGGUAAGGCCCUUCGGGGUACACGAGUGGCGAACGGGUGAGUAACCCGUGGGUGAUCUGCCCUGCACUUCGGGAUAAGCCUGGGAAACUGGGUCUAAUACCGGAUAGGACCACUGCCUGCAUGGGUGGUGGUGGAAAGCUUUUGCGGUGUGGGAUGGGCCCGCGGCCUAUCAGUUUGUGGGUGGGGUGAUGGCCUACCAAGGCGACGACGGGGAGCCGGCCUGGGAGGGUGACCGGCCACACUGGGACUGAGAUACGGCCCAGACUCCUACGGGAGGCAGCAGUGGGGAAUAUUGCACAAUGGGCGCAAGCCUGAUGCAGCGACGCCGCGUGAGGGAUGACGGCCUUCGGGUUGUAAACCUCUUUCAGCACCGACGAAGCGCAAGUGACGGUAGGUGCAGAAGAAGGACCGGCCAACUACGUGCCAGCAGCCGCCGUAA
rnacentral:rRNA from 1 species